GACGAACGCUGGCGGCGUGCUUAACACAUGCAAGUCGAACGGGUCUGCCCUGUUUUUUGCGGGGUGGGUCAGUGGCGAACGGGUGAGUAACACGUGAGUAACCUGCCCCUCACUUCUGGAUAACCGCUUGAAAGGGUGGCUAAUACGGGGUGUUCUGGCUGUGCCGCAUGGUGUGGCUGGGAAAGAUUCACUUUUGUGGUGUUUUGGUGGGGGAUGGGCUCGCGGCCUAUCAGCUUGUUGGUGGGGUGAUGGCCUGCCAAGGCUUUGACGGGUAGCCGGCCUGAGAGGGUGGGCGGUCACACAGGGAAUGAGAUACGGCCCAGACUCCUGCGGGAGGCAGCAGUGGGGGGUAUUGCACAAUGGGCGGAAGCCUGAUGCAGCGACGUCGCGUGAGGGAUGGAGGCCUUCGGGUUGUGAACCUCUUUCGCCGGUGAAGAAGGUCCUGCUCUUUGUGGUGGGGUUGACGGUAGCCGGGUUAUGAAGCGCCGGCUAACUACGUG
rnacentral:rRNA from 1 species